ensembl:snRNA U6 U6 spliceosomal RNA
GUGCUUGCUUCACCAGCACAUAUACUAAAAUUGGAAUGAUACAGAGAAGAUUAGCAUGGCCCCUGUGCAAGGAUGACAUGCAAAAAUUUGGUGUUAUGCACUUGGUG